UAUGAAUGGCUAUCUUGUUUGUGCCCGCGGUGGGCUAACCAUCAUUAAUUUAUUGCACAGGUAUCAAAAGCAUGGCAACUGGCACUGUUAAGUGGUUCAACGACAGCAAAGGCUUCGGUUUCAUUUCUCCUGACGAUGGUGGCGACGAUCUGUUCGCACACUUCUCCGAAAUUCAGGCAGAAGGUUUCAAAUCGCUGCAGGAAGGCCAAAAAGUCUCCUUCAACGUCACUCAGGGUAAAAAAGGUCUGCAGGCUUCUGCAAUCCGCCCCGAGUAAGUCGGUAGAUUAAAUUCUGCUGUAAAGGGAGCUGCCAAUGGCAGCUCCCUUUUU
rnacentral:other from 1 species